CUCCCUGGGGGGGCCCGGGCCCCCUGUGAGGACUGUCGGCCAUUGUUAACUGCGCCGUGUGUGAAGGAAAACGGGACACAGGCGGUCAGCUGAUACCUGUGCGAUCUGGCCACCGGGGGACUCAGUUCCAGUGCCUGCAGCUCCAGUUACACGGCCGGCCGGGCAAGGGGGGUGCGCCAGCUCUGGGAAGGGCCCACGGAGCUGCUGGCCCAGCUGACGUGCCCCCAUCCAUUGCAUGCCCAGGGCAGGCAACAGGGAGCCAGCCAGCAGAGCGAGAAGAUGGGGAAACUGAGGCCCAGAGAAGUGAGCAAGAAGUCUUGGCAUGAGUUACAAGGAGAAAGUACAGGAUUCAGAAGUGUUUUCUGGAAUCUUUCUACACCAUCUCUGCCCUCAGCUACUGUGUGUCUAACUCAAUUCAUCUAUUUGCCCCAAAACAUUUCCGUGGGCCAGGCCCUGGGGGUACCAAAAGAAAUGGGCUAUAUAUAUCACCUGCUCACAGGAGCUCACCAUCUUCAGAGGGCUCAUCAGGUAAACACAUAG
rnacentral:lncRNA from 1 species